rnacentral:rRNA from 1 species
UACGUAGGUGGCGAGCGUUGUCCGGAUUUACUGGGCGUAAAGCGCACGUAGGCGGCUUUGCAAGUUAGAGGUGAAAGCCCGGGGCUCAACUCCGGAAUUGCCUUUAAAACUGCAUCGCUAGAAUUGUGGAGAGGUAAGUGGAAUUCCGAGUGUAGAGGUGAAAUUCGUAGAUAUUCGGAAGAACACCAGUGGCGAAGGCGACUUACUGGACACAUAUUGACGCUGAGGUGCGAAAGCGUGGGGAGCAAACAGG